rnacentral:lncRNA from 1 species
UUGUUUGUAAUAAAUGGAGAAGGGAAGACUUCUAAAUAAGAUAUUCUACAUCAUUCCCUGGAAGCAUUCAGGGAACAUACCUGAAUUAGCAUUUCAGUAUGAAUUAGGAACGUGCUUUUGAAGUAAAGCUCCCCAUUGUCUCUACUUGCUGUGCUUGGAUUCACAUUUUGAAGUGGUCUUGGAGAGCACAAGACGGACGUUUGUGGGGGUAACCAAACAAUGUGCUCCAGCCAUUUCCAGCUACAGGGUGUGUCUGGGUCCUCCGCUGAGGCAGGCAGAAUCACUCUGCUGCAGGAAGGUGCCUAAAUUUGAGGCACUGAAAGCUUGUAUCAGCUGUCUGAAGAGUAUCACCAACUGGCUUUAGCUGCGGUCUCCAAGCAGAUCUUCUGUAUAACAGGCUCUAUUGUGUCUGUUUUUGGACACCAGAAAGUGAUUAAUGUAAAUGGAGAAUCACUUGUGAAAGUCUGGCUGAGAUACAGGAACUUAUAGAAGGAAGAAUGCUACCAAGCAGUUCUCCAUGGAAAUGCUCUUGCCAUGAUACUCAGGAGAUUAUCCUUUCUCUAGCUGCUACUCUCAUCUCCGUUCACUAAGCACUUUCCAAGUUUGGCAGAAGAAAAUGCUGUUGUCCUACAAGCUGAACACUACCCAGUCUUGCUCAGGCUAAACCAGUACCACCCACCAUUGACUUUCUUAUUGUCAUGUCAGCUUUUUGUACAAAAUUCACUCUGCAUCUGUUUCCCUGUGGUCUUUGUUCUGCCCAAAACACAUAUUUUAGAAAAAGUCCUUUAUGGGCCUUUUGUACUGUGAUGAAUUUUCCUGGUAUUCAUAUAGUAGCAGCUUAAUGGAACUGUGUUAAAAUGGACAGGAUAUAUGCUGGCAUUCAUUGAAAAAUGUGAGAUCAGAGGCACACUUAAGUGUUCUGUGACUUCUACUGGUGUCUGAUAGGAUUGGAGGAUGUGCUUCAAAUGAUACCCAGACCAGCACCACUGGAUACGCUACGGCACUCUUGCCCUAUCAAGGUCCUCUUCUUCAUGAAGCCUAUUCUGCUGCAAGUGUUUGUCACUGUGGGCAGUGUGGACACAGAGUUUGCAUGUGGAAUGGACGUGUCAGCAGAAAGACUAGACUUGUUUGGAGUGCAGUUCAAAUUACAGGAGAGAGAAUCAUAUGUCUGAAGAAUUAGGAAACCAGUAUUUUGUGGACUGAGCAUUACCAGAGGUCUCAUUCUUCAUUCAGAGGAAAGUUAUGUCAAACAGGAAGCUGAACUCAUCCUAAUCAUGGUUAGGCAUAAGCAAUGCAACUCUUUUUAGAAAAGCCAGAACAGUGCACUAAUCACCAUGAAAAAUAAACAAAAAUGUUGUUUUUGGAAGACCA